UCCAACUUGAGAGUUUGAUCCUGGCUCAGAGCGAACGCUGGCGGCAGGCUUAACACAUGCAAGUCGAACGGGCAUAGCAAUAUGUCAGUGGCAGACGGGUGAGUAACACGUGGGAACGUACCUUUUGGUUCGGAACAACUGAGGGAAACUUCAGCUAAUACCGGAUAAGCCCUUACGGGGAAAGAUUUAUCGCCGAAAGAUCGGCCCGCGUCUGAUUAGCUAGUUGGUGAGGUAAUGGCUCACCAAGGCGACGAUCAGUAGCUGGUCUGAGAGGAUGAUCAGCCACAUUGGGACUGAGACACGGC
rnacentral:rRNA from 1 species